rnacentral:rRNA from 1 species
CCUACGGGAGGCAGCAGUAAGGAAUAUUGGUCAAUGGAGGCAAACUCUGAACCAGCCAUGCCGCGUGCAGGAAGAAGGCCCUAUGGGUCGUAAACUGCUUUUGUACCAGAGAAAACCCGAGUACGUGUACUCGGUUGAUAGUAUGGUAAGAAUAAGCAUCGGCUAACUUCGUGCCAGCAGCCGCGGUAAGACGAAGGAUGCAAGCGUUAUCCGGAUUCAUUGGGUUUAAAGGGUGCGUAGGCGGACUGAUAAGUCAGUGGUGAAAUCUCUCAGCUUAACUGAGAAACUGCCAUUGAUACUGUUAGUCUAGAGUAUAGAUGACGUUGGCGGAAUAUGACAUGUAGUGGUGAAAUACUUAGAUAUGUCAUAGAACACCGAUUGCGAAGGCAGCUAACGAAACUAUAACUAGACGCUGAGGCACGAAAGUAGCGGGGAUACAAACAGGAUUAGAUACCUGGUAGUCCGCACCGUAAACGAUAGAUUACUACGUUGUUGGUCAUAUGACCGUCAGCGACCAAGACGAAAGCGAUAAGUAAUCCACCGNGGGGAGGUACGCCCGGCCGAACGGUGAAACGUACAAAGGAAGUUAGACGG